UAGGAAAAUCAUUUGGCUUAAGGCUGGCACCUCAAACCGACAGCAAACCUUCGUUGCAAGGUACUUCUUUGAUGCCAUUCAGGAACACAGUGGUUGCCCACGAUUCAUAAGGGCAGACAGAGGAAAGGAAAAUCUUCUCAUCGGACAGAUGCAAGUGGCAUUUCACUUCCGGGAGUCUGGCGAUCAAGGACGAGACUCCUUCAGAGUGGGCACAUCAGUACAUAACCAGGCAUGUGAGCAUAAAUGGAUUUAUAUAUUAUAAUGCAUGCAAUACAUAUAUAUAUAUAUUAUAAAAAGAAAUAAUAUUUAUUUUGUUUUAUUAGCUAGCUGAAUGCUUCAACAGUAUGCUAAAGAAAACAUGGAUCAAAAAAUGGCAGGUGACAUUUGAGGCCAUGAUGGAAUCUGGCAUGCUCGAUUUAGACAAUCCUGUACACAUAAAUUGCCUGCAAUAUACACACCUUCCCCUUCUUGAGAGAGAGCUGAACAUAGAGCAAAGACUGUGGAACACUCACGACAUGCGCAAGCAAAGGAAUGCUCCAGGUCCAUUUGGGAAACCAGACCUUCUCUUUACUUCCCCACCCGAAGAUAUCUGUUUAUCAUCCAAAUUAAAAAGGUUCAGAAAAGCAGUACCCAAUGUGAAAAAGGAAUUUGUAUCUUCCUGCAGGCUUUGCUGGUAUGCUCUGCAAAGUAGACAACGACCUCCUGAAGUAUGCAGAACAGCUUGUUUGUGGAGUAGAUGAGCCUUUGUUGGUGGCAAAUGAAGAAUUCAGAAAAAUAUCAGAGGCUAUUCUGCAAAAUACAAACUUCCCAUCAUCACCAGAUGGGUCUUUGGCGGCUUACCUCAUGUUGGUGGAGAAAU